ensembl:misc_RNA Metazoa_SRP Metazoan signal recognition particle RNA
GCUGGGUGUGGUGGCGCACACCUGUAGUCUCGGCUACUGGAGAGGCUGAAGCAAGAGACUCACUUGAACCCAGGAGUUCGAGGCUGCAGUGAGCUAUGAUCGCACCACUGCGUUCCAGCCUGAGUGACAGAGCAAGACCCUGCCUCUU